UUUUCUUUCCAAACUUUUCAUCUCGCCCUCUAUGAAAUUAUUCUUCCUACAAACUAAAUUUUCUUGUUCAGUAUUAUACCUAUAAUACUACAAAGCCUUGCUUCGUUUUAAGUAUUGUAACUCUCGAUCACCGCUAUCCUUUCCGAUUGAUCUGAACCCCAUAACGCAUGUCAAGGCUCUGCCCGACUAAGUUCGUUUGGGUUCUGUCUCGGGACAUCGGGACAAGGUUGAUUUAGGGGUACUAUACUUACCACGAGUAGAUUAUAUAUUUUUAUAUAUAUAUAUAGCCCAAAAGUUAUACCCAAAAUUUAUACCAGGAGUCUUUCUAGUUGAACCCUAAAGUUACACAGUGGGUCCAUUCUCUUUAUUUUAUUCUCUUUUUAUGAUCUACCCAAAACUAUUAGUUAUUAUUCUAUUUUGUAAACAACUCUCAUCAAAAGUCAUACCUAUUAUUUUAUUUACUCAAUAGGAAACCCUAGUUGAGACACCCAAGUAAUCCUACACAACUCCUAAAAUUCUCAUAACAAUCAAAAUCAAGAUCAGGGCCCCUAAAACUUAGGAGGGGGAUAUUCCCACUUGAUAAUUAUCUUUAUAUCUCGUUGUCAAAAUUCGAAUUUAAUAUUCCGUCGACUCAUCAAGCCUACACACAUACGUGGCAAGCCUAUAGUGAAAAGGUGUCCCUUACGGACCGUAAGGGAUAAGGCUUACGGUCCGUAAGCCAGUCAAAUUUCGUGUAUAAAUAGCAGGCAUCGGCACUUGCAGUCUGCUGUUCAUUCGACGAUUAAAUUCCGAUUAUACACCGAGUUAUCGUCUAAAUACUCUAAAAACACACACGCGAAUCACUAAUUAGUAUAGCAGGGUGCUGCUACGAUACAGGGUAUUAACUCGAUCGCUAUUACGAUUCAUUUUCCGACCGAUCAAUAUAUCCAAUGGAUGUUUAAGUGCCACCCACAUUAGGGUUAUACUUUGUCGUUCGUCGUUAAUUCGAUGGAUGUUUAAGUAUCGUACUUUGUCGUUCGUCGUUAAAUCGAUGGAUGUUUAAGUAUCGCACUUUGUCGUUCGUUGUGAGAAUUUGAUCUCGUGAGUUAUCGUAAUUGUUGUAUUAAGUGACCUACCUAGUUCGUGUGCACUAGGUUACAAGGCUAAAUCAAUAGGCUAAGCUCUGCCUGUAUAAAUCUGCAAUAUAUCAAGGCUUAUCUGUAGACUAAACUUUGGCCGUAUGAAUCUGCAUGAUUAUAAUGUAAUUACAGUAGAUUGGAGUAAGGAUUGGAUCCGGCACUAUAAGACUUCAAGAAGUGGCUUAUUUUAUUAAGUAAAUCAAAUUAAGAAAUAUUAUUUUUAUUAAAAGCUACCUUUGUAAAACAUGGAAUUUAUUUCAUCUAUUUAAAUAAAAUCCGGUGUUUCUAAACUCUGAUAAUUUCCUAACUCACGGUCCUGAUGAAAUUUCCGCUGCAAUGUUUUUUUUUAAAAUAAUCACCGGUACCACUAGACUGCUCGCGGCUUCCGAUUCCGGCUAGGAUGGGGUCGGGGGUCGUGACAAUAUGUGUUCCUAAGAGUUAGUCAGAUGCUUAAGCGUACCCCAUUACCCUUAAAACACCAAACCUGUUGUAGAACUAGCUAAUGGUAAAAGUCUUGAGGGUGCAGACAUAGUUAAGGGUUGUAACCUCGCUUUAACUGGUCAGACCUUCUCUAUCGACUCUAUCCCCUUCAUACUUGGUAGCUUCGACGUCGUUAUCGGGAUGGAUUGGUUGACUCAUCAUCGAAUAGAGAUUCUUUGUAAGGAGAAAUAGUCCGCAUUCCUCAUUCUGGUGAAGAACCUCUUAUUAUUUGUAGCAACAAGAGUAGCGCUGUGGUGAACAUCAUCUUUUUCCUUAAGGCCCAUAAGUGCUUACGAAAGGGCCACACUGUCAUCCUAGCUCUUGCUACUGACACCUCGACGAAAAGAAAAGGGGAUAGAAGAUACCCCGAUUGUACACGACUUUCCUGAAGUAUUCCCUGAGGAAUCACCUGGCCUUCCGCCUCAUCGUCAGGUCGAAUUUCAAAUCGAGCUAGCUCCUGGAGCAGCACCAAUAGCUCGUGUCCGCUCAGCUUCAGGAACUUUUGGGCAAGGGUUUCAUUCAUCCUAGCUCUUUGCCUUGGGAAGCUCCAGCGUUGUUCGUAAAGAAAAAGGACGGUGCCUUCCGCAUGUGCAUUGAUUACCACGAACUCAACAAGGUGACCGUGAAGAAUCGCUACUCUCUCCCUCAUAUUGACAACCAGUUCGACCAGUUGCAAGGGAGACAUUUGUGAUUUUGGAACUUCUUCGUAAAGGACAGCUUACGCUAAGAUCUCGAAAUGUGACUUUUGGCUUCGUGAAGUCCAUUUCCUAGACCACGUGGUUAAUAAGGAUGGGAUUCAUGUUGAUCCAUCCAAGGUUGACUCAAUCAAGAACUGGGCUGCAAAUCUUGGGAUUUGUAUGUAACGCUCCGCGUUUUUCAUAACUUUCCAUACUUAGAAGCCGUUGUUCAUAUUCCUAUUUUUGGAAACUUUGUGACCUUGUAUUCGAUGUUUCGUUGUAAUUGUCGAAUAAUCUUUAUCUUUAAUC
rnacentral:lncRNA from 1 species